AUAAAAGCGAACAUAUACAUUAGAAAUAUUGGUCUUGUACAUGAAAAGAGACUGAGAUUUGUCCUGGACCAUCUCUGCAGCCUUGGGCUGAACUCUCCAGUUUCUCAGGAUAACUCCUAAACGGGGACAGAAACUUGGGCACUGUAUUCCAUUUUUAAGCUUCACCAGUACCAAGUGGAGGUUAAUGUGUGGAGACUGCUCAGUUAGACUCCAAAAACAGCUGGGAGAAAAGCCCCCAUGAACCUGAGCCAGUGAUGAAACUUACAGUGGGGAGGAGCUGCUGUCACCACCAAGGCAAA